GUUUCUGUAGUGAAGUGGUAAUCACAGUCGCCUAACAUGCAAAAGUUCCCCGGUUCGAAACCCGGCAGAACCC